AGAAACAGAUGAUGCUUGCAAGGAGCAACAGCAAAGUUAGGUUAUUUCAAAAUAUUUAUUUUUGAUUUUUUUACAAUGAUCAUUGAAAGAUGAGAUAUCUUUUCUUCAUGCAGUUCUAGUAAAAUAUUUUAAUAAUAAUAAACCAUUCGAGUCAUGGAUAAUAGAAUCAAUCUUCAGGAUUUGCCUGACAUUGUGUUGGAAAAAAUAUUCUCAUAUUUGACUUACAAUCAAAUAGCUGAAAAUAGAAUUAUAAGUAGAAAGUUCAAUGAAUUCGGAAAAGAAGCUUUAAAUCGUGGUUAUAACAUGGUAGAGAAGUUUCACAGGAAAUCUUUGAAAGCUGUAAGAUCAAAACUUCCACGACGUGAAUCCGAAAGAAAAAUUCAUCCUUUGGCCAGACAAUGUGACAUUUUGGUUGCCAUUGAGACAAGACUAUCUAUGCUGUCCAUGACGUUUCUGAAAUACAUAGAAUGUAAACAGUGUUGCUUUAUACCUGGCAAGGUAAUUGAUGAGUUGCUGAGAGUAAUAAAAUAUGUGAACAAGAGCAUUCAUCCGCCGCGACCUCAUGACCUCCUACAGGAGCUGAGGGAUAUCACCUCCAUGGCCAUGGAACACUUUGAGGAGAGAAUUGUGCCAAUUCUAAAAGAGAAGAUGAAUGCUUAUAAACCUUCCAUAACAUCUUCCUUCUUAGGAAAUCAUCUGAGAGUGGCAUGCAACAUGCCUUCCACUUCGAUCACGUGCAACGACUUGUGCAGUGCCCUCAAGAGAAACCAGGCCAGCUCCAAGGUCAACCGCAGGCUCAUCAAUCUUCUACUAGUCGAAGCAAAACGAAGCAGAAAGAAGGAAGUGGCGAACAAGAAGCAAUUGAAACUGACUCUGGAGGUAGUACACAAACAAAAGCGCGAGAUAAUACGAUUAAAGCGAGUAAUUCAAAAUUGGGAAGCAAAAUUUCGAGAUCUAUCGGCCGAAGUGAGGACUAUCAGCACUCAUCCGUUCAAAAGACAAGCUGUUUCGCCUUGAUUCCGGCAACAACCCAUGUCAGUGGAACCAGGGCAGAAUGAGCAGUAACUCUGCAUUGUGACAGUUUAGAAAAUGAGAACAUGUGUGUGUUCGUUGACACGUUUGAUGAUAAUGAUGAUGAUAACAUGGCAUCACCAAGAAAAGCGAAAAAACCAAGAAAGUGAAUAAUAUUGGAAACUUGCAGUCGAGGAGUUGAUGUAGUUGAAUUAUCAAAAAUGAAUCUGUAUCCUCCAUCAGUCAACUUUCCCCUAAGAGCUUCCGAUUAUGCAAAAUGGAACGUAUUUCAUAUAUUCUCCAUAAUUUAGUAUAAUUAUCUUUUAAGCUUGUGACUGAUUCAAAAAUUAACAAAAGAUUUGUUCAACGAUGUUUACUAUACUGAACUGAUAUUAUAAUGAUAAGUUUAUAAUGUUUUUAUGAGAGCAGUUUGAAAAGUUUCAGAGCUGACCAUGAAGAUGAAAAAUCUUGUUAACACGAGAUAGUGUAACUUUUGGUCAUAUUUCAAUAGUUUCUCACACAUUUGGUUGCGUUUUUUCAUAAUAUGUUACCAUCGUUGACGGGUGUUGCGUGCCAUGUCUGCAAAGGUCAGGGCAAUAAUUGUUCAAUUUCAACUCUGUUAGCGCAGUUUAGGCGCAAAUAAUCUGAAUUUUGUCAUCAAUAUUAGUAACAUUUUAUGAUAUUUGGAUACAUUUAUGUCCAUCCAGAACUGAAAAAUCAGUUGUCUGUUUGGGCUCCAAAAAUAAAAAAAACUGACUGAAAACUGGUCUCAUGGCAACUGGUUUUGGUAUAGUCAUGAAGUUAUUUCAAACAGUUAUCUCCAAAAACUUACACACGAUUAUACUAUGCAUUAUUACUUGUCGAUCUAAAAGCAGCAAUUGUGGAAGAAACUAUCAAAUUUGCCAACGCAAUACAUCGUCCCACAACUUUUCAAGACGGUAAUCACGACAAAAGUACAGAAAUUACGGUAUAGCCUGUUCAACUAUUGAUUUUACUUUCCAUAUCUGGUCACAAGUAUAAUAUUGUCACCUCUUCCAGAAAUGACACACUAAGAACAGAGGUGUCGUGAGCAGACAUGACACACAGACCGACAUUGACGUACUCAACAACCAUAAAAUAAAUACUGUGCGUUCAAAAUGGCUGAAAUUUUAGUUAGACUAGUAAAACAUGACUGCAAGAUACUCCAGCUCUUGUUUAAGAGAGUUGUCAUCUCCAUGACCAUGUCGGAAACUUUUCAAACUGUCCUCAUAAAAUAGUGUAUAGGCAAGUACUGUAAGUUCUUCUACUUGAAUAUUGAUUAACAUCAAAUUAAUUUGAUAUUUAUAAAUACAUUUCAGAGUUGAUUCCCCAGUUUUAUAAAAGCCUGUUAAAUUUUAAUCGUUAAUAACUUUCACGAGAACCAAUCAGGGAAGGCUUUUUGGAAAAGAAGGCUUUCCUGAUUGGUAAUUAUUCAUGAUUAAAAAAUAACAGGCUUUUGUGCAAUCGGGCCGAUAUAUUUUAAUGUACAGUAUUUACUAAAAAAUUGUGUUAGUUCAAUCUUCUCAAUUCAAGCCUUACGCUUACCACUGCAAAUGGCAUGGUGGCGACGGGAGCUGGAAAAUCACCGCCAUCGCAGUCAUGCCCAAAGCUUUAGUAUUAUACUCAAGUGUGUGUUAUUUUGUUAUUUCCUUUUAAAAAUUUUACUUUGUGAUUAAUUUGUACAUAAAAUAGUUUGUUCAUAUAGAAGUAAUUAAUUUAAUUCAUCGCAAUAAGAGUGAUAGUAGUUGGAUUCUUGACUAAGGGUUAGAUGAAAAAUAGUUAAUGAAUAAUAUUCAAUUAAUUUAAUAAAA
rnacentral:misc_RNA from 1 species